rnacentral:rRNA from 1 species
UACGUAGGUGACAAGCGUUGUCCGGAUUUACUGGGCGUAAAGAGCGCGCAGGCGGUCGUUCAAGUCGAGUGUGAAAGCCCCCGGCUCAACUGGGGAGGGUCACUCGAUACUGAUCGACUCGAAGGCAGGAGAGGGAAGUGGAAUUUCCGGUGUAGUGGUGAAAUGCGUAGAUAUCGGGAGGAACACCAGUGGCGAAGGCGACUUCCUGGCCUGUUCUUGACGCUGAGGCGCGAAAGCUAGGGGAGCAAACGGG